rnacentral:rRNA from 1 species
AGAGUUUGAUCAUGGCUCAGAACGAACGCUGGCGGCAGGCUUAACACAUGCAAGUCGAACGGAUCCUUCGGGAUCAGUGGCGGACGGGUGAGUAACGCGUGGGAACCUACCCUGGGGUGGGGAAUAACCUUGGGAAACCGAGGCUAAUACCGCAUACGCCCUAUUGGGGAAAGACUAUGUUGCCCUGGGAUGGGCCCGCGUCCGAUUAGCUAGUUGGUGGGGUAAUGGCCUACCAAGGCUGCGAUCGGUAGCUGGUCUGAGAGGAUGAUCAGCCACACUGGGACUGAGACACGGCCCAGACUCCUACGGGAGGCAGCAGUGGGGAAUAUUGGACAAUGGGGGCAACCCUGAUCCAGCCAUGCCGCGUGAGUGAAGAAGGCCUUAGGGUUGUAAAGCUCUUUCACCCGUGACGAUGAUGACGGUAGCGGGAGAAGAAGCCCCGGCUAAUUCCGUG